UACGAAGGGGGCUAGCGUUGCUCGGAAUCACUGGGCGUAAAGCGCACGUAGGCGGAUUCUUAAGUCAGGGGUGAAAUCCUGGAGCUCAACUCCAGAACUGCCUUUGAUACUGAGGGUCUUGAGUUCGGGAGAGGUGAGUGGAACUGCGAGUGUAGAGGUGAAAUUCGUAGAUAUUCGCAAGAACACCAGUGGCGAAGGCGGCUCACUGGCCCGAUACUGACGCUGAGGUGCGAAAGCGUGGGAGCAAACAGG
rnacentral:rRNA from 1 species